CGAAGGUUGCAAGCGUUACUCGGAAUUACUAGGCGUAAAGGGCAGGUAGGUGGUUUGGUAAGUCUAUUGUGAAAGCUCCCGGCUUAACUGGGAGAGGCCAAUGGAUACUGCCAAGCUUGAGUAUAGGAGAGGUUACUGGAAUUCCCGGUGUAGCGGUGAAAUGCGCAGAUAUCGGGAGGAACACCAAUGGCGAAAGCAGGUAACUGGACUAUUACUGACACUCAACUGCGAAAGCUAGGGGAGCAAACGGGAUUAGAUACCCUGGUAGUCCUAGCCGUAAACGAUGCACAUUAGACGUGAGGGGUAUCGACCCCCUUCGUGUCGACGCUAACGCAUUAAAUGUGCCGCCUGGGGAGUACGGCCGCAAGGUUG
rnacentral:rRNA from 1 species